GGCUGGAGUGAAAGUAGUAAGUUAUCUCAAUUGAUUGUUCACAGUCAGUUACAAAUUGAACUCCUUUUUCUACUGUUUCCCCUCUUUUCACUACUGAACUUGACUAGUCCAAA
ensembl:Y_RNA Y_RNA Y RNA